CGGACGGGUGAGUAAUGUCUGGGAAACUGCCUGAUGGAGGGGGAGUAACUACUGGAAACGGUAGCUAAUACCGCAUAACGUCGCAAGACCAAAGAGGGGGGACCUUCGGGGCCUCUUGCCAUCAGAUGUGCCCAGAUGGGAUUAGCUAGUAGGUGGGGUAACGGCUCACCUAGGCGACGAUCCCUAGCUGGUCUGAGAGGAUGACCAGCCACACUGGAACUGAGACACGGUCCAGACUCCUACGGGAGCAGCAUG
rnacentral:rRNA from 1 species